rnacentral:rRNA from 1 species
CCUACGGGAGGCAGCAGUGGGGAAUAUUGGACAAUGGGCGAAAGCCUGAUCCAGCCAUGCCGCGUGUGUGAAGAAGGCCUUCGGGUUGUAAAGCACUUUCAGUGGGGAAGAAAGCCUUGGGGCUAAUACCCUCGAGGAAGGACAUCACCCACAGAAGAAGCACCGGCUAACUCCGUGCCAGCAGCCGCGGUAAUACGGAGGGUGCGAGCGUUAAUCGGAAUUACUGGGCGUAAAGCGCGCGUAGGUGGUUUGAUAAGCCGGUUGUGAAAGCCCCGGGCUCAACCUGGGAACGGCAUCCGGAACUGUCAGGCUAGAGUGCAGGAGAGGAAGGUAGAAUUCCCGGUGUAGCGGUGAAAUGCGUAGAGAUCGGGAGGAAUACCAGUGGCGAAGGCGGCCUUCUGGACUGACACUGACGCUGAGGUGCGAAAGCGUGGGUAGCAAACAGGAUUAGAUACCCUUGUAGUC